AUUCACUUUCCAGGAUGCCCAGCGUGGCUCGGUUGGUUAAGCAUCUGCCUUCGGCUCAGGACUCUACCAGAGCUUCGGGCCCCAUUUGCAUCCAGCUGCCUAUGGGUAUCAGUAGCUGUUGGACUUAGCAGAGUCAGUAAGUAGCCUGGGGUUGGGUAUAGAGAGCAAGAGGGAAAGAAUUGCCCUUUCCAGUCAUCUGCCUCCUAGAAGGGCGUGCCAUCUCCUGCUUCCUUCUGUUAUUUUUACUAAUUAAAAAAGAAAGAAAGAAAGAGAAACAAAACUCCAUCGUCAAGGAAAGGCCUUCAAAAUCCAGUGUAUAUUUUAUAUUUAUAGCACAUCUCAGUUUGGACCAGUUCAUUUCUAAUGCUCAAGAGCACACGUGACUAACAUUAAACAGUACAUAUCUAGGGUCCAGAAGCAAAAGCCAGCUGAAACUGGUGGAUGGGAACAUUGUUUUGUCUGCAGAUAUAAAAGAUGCUUCCCCAAGGGCUAUGCUGGCAUUUGACAAUGCUAAAGAAAGCCUAACUGUUCUGCGACUAUUAUUCUUCCUUGGGCUCUUCAAUUUCAAGGGCACAUCAUCCCCAGGUCCAAGUUUUGGGAGAAGCUAUAAGUGAUUGAUACAGCACAU